rnacentral:rRNA from 1 species
GCAGCCGCGGUAAUACGUAGGUGGCAAGCGUUGUCCGGAAUUACUGGGUGUAAAGGGAGCGCAGGCGGGACUGCAAGUUGGAUGUGAAAUACCGAGGCUUAACCUCGGAGCUGCAUCCAAAACUGUAGUUCUUGAGUGAAGUAGAGGUAGGCGGAAUUCCGAGUGUAGCGGUGAAAUGCGUAGAUAUUCGGAGGAACACCAGUGGCGAAGGCGGCCUACUGGGCUUUAACUGACGCUGAGGCUCGAAAGUGUGGGGAGCAAACAGGAUUAGAUACCCC